CACUCCUGCGGGAGGCAGCAGUGGGGAAUUUUACGCAAUGGGGGAAACCCUGACGUAGCGACACCGCGUGAGCGAAGAAGCCCUUUGGGGUGUAAAGCUCUGUCAGCUGGAACGAAAACAAUGACGGUACCAGCAGAGGAAGCAUCGGCUAACUACGUGCCAGCAGCCGCGGUAAGACGUAGGAUGCGAGCGUUGUCCGGAUUUAUUGGGCGUAAAGAGUUCGUAGGUGGUUUGUUAAGUUUGGUGUUAAAGAUCGGGGCUCAACCCUGGGACUGCACUGAAUACUGGCAGACUCGAGUGUGGUAGAGGCUAGUGGAAUUCCCAGUGUAGCGGUGAAAUGCGUAGAUAUUGGGAAGAACACCGGUGGCGUAGGCGACUAGCUGGGCCAUAACUGACGCUGAGGAACGAAAGCCAGGGGAGCGAAUGGGAUUAGAAACCCCAGUAGUCCCAUG
rnacentral:rRNA from 1 species